GCUGAGGUGGGAGGAUCACUUGAGCCCAGGGGGCAGCGGUUGCAGUGAGGCAAGAUCAUACCCCUGCACUCCAGCCUAGGAAACAGAGUGAGACUCCAUCUCAAAAAUAUAUAUAUACUCUGAAGUAUUUAAUCAGAUGCAUAGAUACAAUGAUCAAUAAUAAGUGUUUCUUUUCUAUAAAUAAAAAUUUACAAAAAAGCAUCAUAUUAUUAUGUAUUCAAUCACUUCCUGUCAUGUAAUCCUGUGUAUUGGUUUUCCUAAGAGAGCUGUUUCAGAAACCAUUUUUUAAAUGCAUGGGGAUAAAACUUGGCCAACAUCAGAUAAAUGCUUAUUCUGGAAUUCGCACAGAUUUUAAAGUUCUUUCACAUGAAUGGGAAUAAUUCGUGUGUUUUUAUUUUGUAAAGCAAUGUGAACUAAAUGAACCUUUUUAAAAAUUGAGAUACCUUUUUAUUAGGCUUUUCUUGCAUUGCUAUCAAGAAAUAACUGAGACUGGGUAAUCUAUUAAUAUAAAGAAAGAGGUUUAAUUGGCUCAUUGUUCUGCAAGCUGUACAAGCGUGGCACCAGUAUCUAUCUGCUCAGCUUCCGGUGAGGGCUCGGGAACCUUACAAUCAUGGUGGAAGGCAAAGGGAAGUGGGCGUAUCACAUGGGGAGAACAGGAGCAAGAGAGAAGAGGAAGGGCUAAAAUCUUUUAUCCAACCAGCUCUCCUGUGAACUCAUGGCAAGAACACACUCACUACAGUGGUACUAAGCCAUCCGUGAGGGAUCUGUCCCCAUGGUCAGCUAACUCCCACCAGAUCCUACCUCUAACACUGAGGAUCACUUUUCAAUGUGAGAUUUGGGCAGGUCAAAUAUGUAAACCAUAUCAUCUUUUAAUUAGCUUUGCUAUCUUUAUUACAUUAUUUUUACUGUUAUGAAUGACUUUAGACUAUUUAGAUUAGACUAUCUAGAUUAAAAUUAGGCAGUUAUAUUUGUUCAGUAGCACAUAUAUCACCAAUUUCUAUUUCUGAAGAUUUUUGGUGUCCCUGAUGAUGAUGAACUAUAUGAGCGUGCAUGAUCUGCAUUAGUGAGUGAGUGAUUUUGCUCUGGCUAUACACACUAAAAAAGUUAUAAGUAUCCAAUGGAUUUAUUUUCCUGUCUUUUUUUUUUUUCAUCAACUUUUAAGUUCUGGGGUAUGUGUGCAGCAUGCACAGGUUUGUUACAUAGGUAAACGUGUGCCACAGUGGUUUGCUGCACAGAUCAACCCACCACGUCAGUAUUAAGUCCAGAAUCCACUAGCUAUUUUCCUGAUGCUCUCCCUCACCCCACCCCCCUGUUUUUCGAGCCUCUGAUAUGGCUAUUCAUCCUAUACAAAAAUAGCCACCAUAGCUGUGUGCCAUAUCGCUGCUAAUUUUGUCAUUUGGUUACUACUGAGCCACAGAUUUUCUAUCACUGAGCACAGAUUCAUGCUGAAUUAACAGAUAUCCUGAAAGGUAAGUGGAGAGAAUUAGAGGAAUUCUCUGUACUCCAUACUCAUAUAUGAAACUGUCUAUUUAACUAUAUAGUCAGAAUGGCAAACCUCCCAUUUACCAUUAAGGAUACAUGGCAUGUGAAGGCUAGAAUUUCAGACCUUCAUCUUUGUAACACUUCCAAAGAUUGGAACCCAGUGACCUUUGUCCCUUCUUGGAAACUGCCUUUGUGAUAUCCCUGCCUUUGUCAUGUCCCUUGAUUCUGACCUCUACCACCACCAGCUGUCAAAACUAUUCCUUAAUGUACCUAAAAUAACUCAAUAAUUAACACCAAUCUUCCUGGAGUUUCACAAGCCAAAAUCAUAGGAGUUAUUGUUGAUCCUCCUUAUUGCUUCACAUUUCACAUCCAGUUCAUUCCACCUCCAGUUCUAAAUAUGCCUUUUAUGUGGAUUAGUCUCCAUCUCCCUAUUCACUCAGACUUCACAAAUUGUCUCCUAGUUUCUCCAACUUCUGCUCUCACUCUCUUAUGCUUAUUCUCUAUGUAUCAGGUUUUUCUUCCAAGCUUAAAAAACUUUUCACUACCUUUCCAUUUCCCUUUGAAUUAGUGCCACUCUUCAUCUAUAGCUUGUGGCCCUUGCUCUUCCCCGUUCCUAGAAUUCUCUUUUCCUAGAUAUCUGUGAAGCUUGAUCCUUCUUUUCUUAUUUCAAGUCUUGAUUCAGAGGACCACCUGUCACUAAACCUUUCUGUGACACCUGUUUCAAAGUACUUCUGCAUCGUUGAUCUGCAGUUGCAGAGAAUGGGUGGUGAUGAGGGCAAGUGUGAAUGCAGGUGAUGAGUCUGGAGACCACUGCAAAAGUCAGGACUAGAGAUCACGGUGACUGGGACUAGGUUUGUGGUACGAGGCAUGAAGUAAUGUAAACCAACAUGUGAUAUAGUUGGAAGUUUAAUGAAACAUUCUCACUUAUUAAUUGGAUUUGGGGUGAGGAAAGAGAAAUGAAUCAAAGAUGAGCCCCAUAGUUUUGUCUUGAAUUGCUAGGUAGGUGUUGAUGCAAAAAUGACAAGGGGAAGACUGUAAGAGGAGAUGACUUUUUGCAGAGGUGAGAAAUUAAGACUGCUGCUCUUGAUUUGUGACAUUUAAAUGCUUAGUGAAGAUUUCAGAUACUCUGUUGGCUUUGGGAAUCUGUCUUUGGACAUAGAGAUUUCAUAGUGAAUGACAUAUUGACAUGUGAGAUUACCUAGGAAAGAAAUUAGAGUAGAGGGUACAGGUCUGAGUCCUAAAGCGUCUCAGUACCGAGAGUUUGAGCACAACAGGGCAAGCCAACAAAGAUCUCUCUGCCAGAGAAAUACAAGCAGAAAACCAGGGAAAUAUGGUGCCCCAGAGGUCAGAAGCAGCAAGUACUUAAUUAAGAAGUGUGGCCCCACUGUGAUGAUCAUCAGGGAAGAUGAAAACAAAGAAGUGAAUGAUGGAUUGGCAAUCAGGUCAUGGAUGACCUCGACCAGAGAAUUCUCUGUGGUCAGUACUGUGAACACUAACUCCCUGUGGCUGUUUAAGUUUAAAUUUACAUUAAUUCAGAUUAAAUAAAAUCAAAAAGUCUUCAGUCACACUAGGCCUAUUUCAAAUGCUCAAUGGUCACAUGGGCGUAGUGGUUGCCAUAUUGAUAGCACAGAUACAGGGCAUUUCCAUCAUACAGAAAGUUCUGUUGGAGAAUACUGCCGUGGAUGGGAAGUACAGACCCUUAGUGGGCACAUCCUCCUUUGUCCAGACAGACUCCUCAUUCUACAGAGAGGGGUGUGACUAGAGGCAGGCCAGAGCAGGGCCCUCGAUAACACUGGGUCCAGUAUCCCUGAUUUAAAGGAGAUGAUUAUCUCAAGUCUCUUUUUUUAUUGAAUGUAGUGGGGCUUUUUUGUUUGUUUGUUUCUGUAGUGACACCUAUGGGAGAUCCAGAACACUGGAGAAAGUGAUUGUGAGGGCUUGGGUUGUCUGGGAAAAUGUUAUUUUUUAGGCUGUAUUUGUGCUAGCCUAAAGAUAAGUAAGAUUCAGAUCCACAACAGGGUAUUGAUAUGUCCUUCAGCUGAGAAAAGAUAAUAUAGGUGCAGUUGUGUUUUAGACAAACAUUCAAUCCUCAGAACAACUUUAGUAGGGUAGGUACUGUUAAUAUUCUCAUCUUCCAGAUAAGAAAGAGUUCCAUCUUAUUUCAAGACAUAAUAUUGAUAGGUAAACUGAGGUUUUAUUCUGUUUGCUUUUUAGAAACCAAGUAGGGGAGUUAAAGUUUUAACACAGUGGUCAAAAAAGAUGUUUCUGUUUUUCCCAACUGUAUUAAAUUUGGGGAAGGUACCUCAGAAAGGCAGGGUGAUGCUUUCUCCAGAUAACUUAUAUCUAUAAUUAAGUUGACUGCCACUCCAUUUUAUCAGAGCUUAUGUCAGAAUAGCUACUCAGUGUGGAAUGGAAAUGUGGUUUAUCUCACACAAUGUCCUAUCACCCUAAAUUUAACUUCCAACAAAAAUUAAUGCUUUUUAAAAAUAUGAGUUAAUUAUCUUAUCAACUGUCUGCUGGAGACAAAUGCCCUACCUUUGUCAUGUUGUUCUUUACAGUUAGCUGUGUACAUGCCUGUUCGUCACACUGGGUUAUACACUCCUUGAAGCAAAGAUGGGUGGACUUUGUUUUACCGUGGAGUGCUCUUGGAUUGAAUCAACUACUGUGUUAACUGCUGCUGAGUCAGUUUCAGGUCAGCAGUAUCCCCCAUCUAUUUUCCUUUUGUGCUUGAUCUUACGGCAUUCUUCCUUGUCGCAUCUCUUCAGUUUACCAAAGAAGAAAAAAGAAAAAUCCCUAACCACGUGCUACCUUGCAGUUGUUCCAAUUGGAUGUCAUGCAGUGUAUGUAAGGCAGGUUACCAAUUUGGCAAGAACAUUUAAAUUUAUCAUCUGACUUCUGCAGUACUAUGCCACACAUUCCUGAGGCUGGUAUGAUAACUGGUGCUUCAACAAAGAGAAGCUUGUGAGACUGAUUCAGUCACUCAUUUUUUUCUCAUGCCAAUAACUGAGUUUUCUGCUAUUCUCAUUGAAGUUGCUUUUUAGUAAAAAGAUGUAUAGUAAUGCAUGAUCUAGACACCAACAAGCUUCAGAAUGCAUUUCAAAAAGAGGGAGGAGGCAAUAUAAUGUUGAUUUUAACCAUAGUAAUUAUUUGGAGAAGAAAUUCUGAAUUUUGCAGUCAUCCUGACAAUGAUUGGAUUAAUACAUCUCAUAUUCAGGGAUGAUUAUUUAAAUUUAACAGAAGACAAUUUACAAAGACACUACUAUAACAAUUCAAUGAAAAGGAAAAUAAAGAACAAGUAUGACUCCUGCCAUUAAGACCCUUUAGCCUGAACGUGAAAUGGUUCCCUAAAUCGGUCUAUACAUGAGGCUGCUGUUUGUCUCCUUUCAUAAUUUGCUUUACAAUAUAUGAAUGAUAAAUUCUGUUAAUGUAUAAUGCAUUGUAUUGCUUCUGGUUUGAAAUAUCUGUGUUUUAUAAUGUUUAUAAGAUAUGAUAUCAAAGCAUUAAACGCAUUGAUUUUGGAUUUUAUCAUUGGCUCUUACGGAUCAAUUAUUAUAAUUUUAAUUUAAAUCACCAUUUAAUCAUGGCAUAUGAUUACUUAUGUGUUCUUUUGUUGGUAAAACAAAAAUCCAAAGUCUAUAAAAAUCAAAUUCUGCAGUUGACAUUUCUCAUACAGCCUAUUUUUGAAAUGGAAGUGUUGCAUAUCAGUGAUUUUAAAACUCUUUACAUGUUUCUUCACUAAAUAUGUUUACUUGCUUUUAAAUUCAGAAUUAUUUACUUCCUUAAAUCUAUAUACACUUCAUGUAGUAAAUUAAAAUCUAAGUACAAAUAAGGUCCUCUGGUUUCGUAUAUUCCAUGUCUGUCUCUGUCAGUAAACGCAGUGUGACAAUCAUUUGUGUGAAAGUCAAAAAUGAUCAGAAUGAGAAUGGUUUAGGAAGAUGCAGUUCUGAAAAUUCUGAAAAGAGUGUCUUCUUCAAAUGUUACAGAAGAGGAGUUUUUAAACUUCAGGAUUCGUUUGUAUGCAGAGGUUAGUAUUUCAAGUGCCAGCCUUGGACGUAAACCAGCUUAAAUCAGAGAAGCCCAACAGGUAAAAGAUAGGAGUGGUUAACCUGUUCUGUUCAAGCAUAACCACCCCGCCUCAUUUUGUGUUUUAAAAUGUGGGGAAUGCAAUAUUAAGUGAGCUAAUAGAAUUCCCUUUUACAAACCCUUAGUUUUUGUUUUCUGUUCAUUUCAUAGACAAAGCCACAAAUCAGCCUGUACUGAUAAAAAAGACCCAGUUACCUAUUUUUUAUUUUAUUUUAUUUUAUACUGAUGAAAAAGACCAAUCAGGAUUGUACUGAUGAAAAAGAGCCAGUUACCUGUUUGUUUUAUUUCAUUAUAAGUCUUGUUAAUGUUAUGUAGAGAUCAUAAUGCCACUUUCUUCCCCCAUUAGCACUCUAAGUAAAAAACUGAAGAAGAACAUUUAUGAUCUUGUGCUAGGACCAGGACUAGAUUUCUAAAGUUAUCAGUAAACUGGAAUGGGAAAGCCAAAGUGGAGAAUUGUGUUAAGUUUGUCAGUAUAGAUUAGGCUUUGCAUAUGGUGGGUACUUAUUAGCUCUAUCUGAUAAACACCUGAGUUUAAGAAAAAGAAAUCAUAAGGAAAAUCAUCAUUUUGUGCAAAAAUUGCCUGUCUAUGCAGAGGAGAUGCAAAAUGAUACUGAAAGCAUUUUGCAAAAUCAUAGGCAGAAGAAAUAUUUUUUGAGAAACUUUUCAUAUGGGACAUAAAAGAUUAGAAAAUGAAAUUCUCCUGACUCUGCCAAACCUAUAACUAAAUUAUGCCAUUUGAAAAAAAAUAUUGAAUGGUUUGUUUUCUUAAUAUUUAUAAGUUAGGAGAUCUUUGACUAGGUUUUAAUUGGUUUUGAGCGAAUAAGUUGAAAUUUUUUAGCUCCUUUGUAUUAAUUACAAGAAAAAUCAUACCGUGCUAAAGAAAUGAAAGCAAUUAUUUUAUUGCUUUAAACUUCUCAGAAAUUUAAAAGAAAAAAUGUUACUUGAAAUAUUUUUAUCUUUUACAGAAAAAAGCCUUUAAUGAUUCUACCUGGAUGCAAAAAUGCAGAAAUAAAAGUGAAGUCUAUAUUUUUAUAAAUAAUAGUUUAUAUAUAUGAGUUGUAAAAAUGGAUUCAGUUUCCCCUAAUUUACGUUUCAUUUUCAAAACAAGCUUAAUUUCUUUUUAAUCUUCACUUGGCAAUGACUCCUGAAGUUUGACUUUUGUUAUCUCUAAGAGACCAUGUUUGGGCAUUAAUGAUUAUAAAUAGGUACAUUUAAAAAUUCUAAUUUGUUUAGACAUUAACAUUUUUUGAUAUCAGACUUAAAAUAGGUGCAUGUUUUAUUUUCUAAUGUAAUAAUUACUUAAGUUUGCUAAUAACAUUGUUCUUUUUAAAAGCAAAAGUCUUGAUAGUUUUUUUUAAGCAAGUCAAGGUAUAACUUUCCAUUUAAAAAUAGUUCGGUUAGUUGUACUACUAGGUUUUUUAUUUAAAAAAGCAAAUCCAUUUAGAACAGAGCCAAGAAUCUGGAAUUUAGAAAAAUUAUCUUUGGGAGACCAGCCUUGUUCAUGCACCUGUGAAAGACAAAUCCCACUGGUCCUUAAAAGCCUAUUUAUUCUAAUUUUAGGUACCGGUUUUACCACAUGUUUGUUUUGCUUUCCAGCUCCUAAAGUGGUUUGGAAACAGCAAAUUAGGAAGCGAAUGGGUGAGUCAUGGCUAGAGGCAUCUGGAAGCAGCAGGAAGUAGCAGAGGAACCUCCAUCACAGGUUGGAGGCAAUUCCUCAUCAGGACUCAAGACUGUACAUAGUUAUUUAAGAGGAAUCAUCUUUUAUAUAGUUUCCCCCCUAGGCUUAAUGGCCUGUGAUCACUUUACCAUGCUGAUGUGUAGUAUGAGGCAAUAAACUAAUCUGAACUCCCUUCUGACUCAUUUAACUCUCUGUUAGUCUGGGUCUAAUGCUAACCAAAGAAGCUCAACAGUUUAGUAUUUGUUCAUUUGGAGAGGAAAAGUGAAGUCCAGAAAACAUUUCCUGUCUCAGGGAUAUUUAAGUGAGGCUGCAAGUAUAUAAAUAGUUAAAAUCAGAUGGGCUGAGUAUCAGGUACCAGGUAUUCAUGAGCAGGUGUGGACCAGAGAGGGGGGCUCUUUGUGCACAGUGGAGAGUGAGGAGCAUCUUGUUAGAGGUGACUUGAACUGAGUCUCAAAGGAUCAGUGGGAUUAGCCAGGCUGAGGAGGUAGAGAACCAUGCUCCAGGCAGAAGAACUAGCAUGAGCAGUCACUGAGACAAUUGAAGGAUCAGGACUUAUUUGAGAACCUCAAGUAGUUAAGGAGCUUGUGGAGAAGUGGGGCAGAGCAAGGGUCAGCAAACUUGUUUAAUAAAGGGUAAGUAUUUUAUUUAGGCUCUGUGAGCCAUGUGGCUCAUCACAAAGACUCUUGCUUUGCUGAGUAGGUAGUGCAAAAGCAGCUGGAGGGGAUAUGCAAAUGAGCGGGCGUGGUGUUCCAUGUCCACUAUUUAUAAACACCAUCUGGUGGGAUUUGGCCUCCAGGCCCUAGUUUGUGGACUUCAGUUGUAGAGAUUCUGUUGGAACCAAGGCCCUCUACUGCUUUGAGUAAUUAAGUCUUUGUUCUUGUUGAUAUCUUCAUAGGAUUGAUCUGCAAGGCAUGAUGUAGAUAGAAUUAUGUGUGUUUAUAUACCUCCCGUUGUCUUCAGGACAUUUUUGUUCUGUGUUUUAAUUAUUGUGGUUUUACUGCGUGUUUUGAUAUCCAUGUUUCCUAUUAUGGAGAGUCUGACUUUUCUUAGAGUUAUAUAAAGCAGUCGCCUACAGUGUAUAAUUACCUUCUUAUCUUUUGUUAUGUUUUCUUUUUGUAACUCAAAUUUUGUGUCACAAUCACAAUGUUGGGGUGGAGGAGAAGCAGAAAAAAAAUUCAGCUAUCCCAGGGUCAUAAAGGAAGGCUUUACCAAACAAUGACAUUUGAGCUGGCCCAUUGGAACAAGUAGGAUUUUGCCAGUCUGUGAAAAGAAAAAAUGGUACUUUGGGCUUCAGAAAUGGCAAAAGCAGAAAUAAAACCAUGUAAAAGGCAGUGUAGUACUCACUGAGCAGCAGGUAGUCUGAACAUCAGUAAACAUGAAGAGUCUCCAGGUUUGGCCUUUAUUUUAAAGUGUCUUCAUUGACAGUCUCAGUAGUUUGGAUUUUUCUUGUAGGCUGUGGAAAGUUCUUGUUUUUCUUCAGUCUGUUUUCCCUGUCACAGCCAAAAUGAUCCUUUUAGAACAUAAAUCAGAUUAUAUCACCCCUCUAUUCAAAAACUUUCCUUCUCAAAAUAAAAUUCAAAUUCCUGUCAUCUCCUCACAGGACCUCCAUAGCCUGGCUCCUCAUCCCCUUUCUGAUCUCAGCUCCUCCCACGUUUCCUGCCACACCUGCCCUGGCCUCCCAGGGAUUCCUCCGGUGCCCCCCGGUUCUCACGGCUCUUGUGGCUCCUCCCUCUGGAGCACUGGCCACCCUUACUUUAUUCAGGUUUCAGAUCACAUCUCCCUUUAUCAGGCAGGCCUUCUAUGAACACAGCAUCUCAGUAGCACCUCCUCCCAUGGCACUCUCCUGCCCUUUACCCUGCCUUUUCUUCUUAGAAAAAUCCCUUUUUUUUAGGAAAUUAUAUCUUACGUUGCUGGAGAAGUUAGACUGCAAAAACAUGAGGACCAUGAGAAGAUAACUGGAGCCCAGGCAGAGGCAUCCUGGGCAGCACAUGACUCAGAACAAAUUCCGGAGUGAAAAAUAUUUUAAAAUAAGUAUUAGAAAUCUUGUACUUUCUUUGCAUUUUUAUUUCCUUUUAGUUUUGAUAAUUGGAACAGCUCCGUGUCACAUUCACGUGAGAAAGUCUAGUUUUAUGGAAGAAACAUUGAAUUUUUAAGGUUAAAUUUUAUGUCUUUUUAGCCCAUAUAGGAAGAGGGAAAAGGUUUUUCCCUUUUUAUUAGCCUCUGUAUAAUUUUAUGUGAUUAUCCAUAGAGAAUAUAAUUUUCUCUUGUGAAUUGAGGUUGUGGAGUAGGGACUUUAAUUAAAUUUACUUUGAGUUCAUGCUUUUCCAAAACCAGGUAUAAAGUCCCUGUAACUCUUAUGACCCAUUAAGAGUCUAAGACUCAUAAGAGAUAUCCAUUAAUACCAUUUCAGAUUUGAAGGUCAGAGGAAAAUACCAAUGGAGUUAUUACUAUUUUAUCAUGAAGUCCUUUAUGACAGCUAAAAUACUAAGAAAAGUAGCAACUAGAUUAUAUAUGAUAAGGGCAUAUUAACUAUAUAAACAUCUGUUUGGCGAGGGUGGCUGGAGGGGCUCAGGGGUUUAUAUGAGCACAGGAUAGUGUCAUGGCAGGCCAGAGUGGUCUUAGAAAAGGCAACAUUUGGGCGUGAAAACAGAAUGCCUAUGAAGACAUAGGGCUGCCAGUUUCCAGGCUUGAGGGUAGGGCUUUUGCUGGGAACCCCCUCUUCUACCCAGUAUUUCUUUGCCUCCGUCCAUAUCAAUAACAAUAGUAUCUUCAUAGAAAUGAAGAAAACAACUUUUACAAAAUCAAUAGUUAGUGACAAUCACUUAACCACUUAUUUUUCAUAGAAAUGCUACUUCCACCAGUAUGGAGGAGUAGGUACUAGUAAGAAGAUGACAUCAGCUUAUAAAGAAAACACCAGUAGACUGACGGGCAACCUCUCAAUAUCAACAGUGGCAGCUAGAAGACAAUGGGAUAAUAUUUUCAAAAUGCCGAGAGAAAAUGUUCACAUAAAGUUGUGUGGUUGCUCACUGUAAUUCUGUGAAACACCUUCCAAAAUAUUGGCAAAAAUGAGGACAGUUUUGAGCAAAAACAGAGACUAUAAGGAAGUUCUAAAGCAUUUAGCUAAAAGGUUCUAAUUGUUGCUUGGUAAAGAAAUAGAAUAAUCCCAAAAUGAUGAUCUGAAAUGUAAAAUGGAAUAAUGAAUAAGAAUAUUGUAUUUCAUAAAAGGAUGCACACAUUUUCGUCUUAAAAUACUAAUACUAUUUGCUUUAAAGGAUGUUUAUACAAUGAUAGAGCUGAAAUAUUAGGCUGUAAUAACAUUUAAACUUGGAGAGGACAUUGGGAGUUAGUUUCUAAUGUCCUUAUAUUGUUUGUCUAUGACUUUGAUAAUUACACUUGUUU